rnacentral:rRNA from 1 species
GAUGAACGCUGGCGGCGUGCCUAACACAUGCAAGUCGAGCGAACAGACGAGGCUCUUGCUCCUCUGACGUUAGCGGCGGGCGGGUGAUUAACACGUGGAUAACCGACCGAUAAGACUGGGAUAACUUCGGGAAACCGGAGCUAGUACCGGAUAAUAUAGUGAACCGCAUGGUUCAUUAGUGAAAGCCGGUUUUGCUGUCACUUAUAGAUGGAUCCGGGCCGGAUUAGCUAGUUGGUAAGGUAACGGCCUACCAAGGCAACGAUGCGUAGCCGACCUGAGAGGGUGAUCAGCCACACUGGAACUGAGACACGGUCCAGACUCCUACGGGAGGCAGCAGUAGGGAAUCUUCCGCAAUGGGCGAAAGCCUGACGGAGCCACGCCGCGUGAGUGAUGAAGGUCUUCGGAUCGUAAAACUCUGUUAGUAGGGAAGAAGAAAUGUGUAAGUAACUCUGCACGUCUUGACGGUACCUACUCAGAAAGCCCCGGCUAACUACGUG